AAGGGCGCAUGGCGGAUGCCUUGGCUCUCGGAGGCGAUGAAGGACGUGAUAAGCUGCGAUAAGCUUUGGGGAGGUGCAAAUGACCUUUGAUCCAGAGAUUUCCGAAUGGGACAACCCAAUAUCUUGAAGAGGUAUUAUCCAACGUUGUUGGAGGCUAACGCAGGGAACUGAAACAUCUUAGUACCUGCAGGAAAAGAAAAUAAACAAUGAUUCCCCCAGUAGUGGCGAGCGAACGGGGAACAGCCCAAACCAUCCAUGUUACGGCAUGGGUGGGGUUGUAGGACUACGCCGUUGCAUGAAGACAUCAGAGAAGAACUUUCUGGAAAGAAAGACCAUAGAGCAUGACAGUUGCGUAUUCGAAUGUUGUCGAAGCAUAGUAGUAUCCUGAGUAGCGCGGAGCACGAGGAAUUCUGCGUGAAUCUGCCGGGACCAUCCGGUAAGGCUAAAUACUCCCGAGAGACCGAUAGCGAACCAGUACCGUGAGGGAAAGGUGAAAAGCACUUCGAACAGAAGAGUGAAAUAGUUCCUGAAACCGUGCGCCUACAAGCGGUCGGAGCUCGUUAAUGAGUGACGGCGUGCCUUUUGCAUAAUGAACCUACGAGUUGCCUUUGCCGGCAAGGUUAAGUGUGACGACACACGUAUCCGAAGCGAAAGCGAGUCUGAACAGGGCGUAUAGUCGGCAGUGGCAGACGCGAAACCAAGUGAUCUACCCUUGGCCAGGUUGAAGGCUGGGUAACACCAGCUGGAGGACCGCACCAAUAAGCGUUGAAAAGCUUCUGGAUGAGCUGAGGGUAGGGGUGAAAGGCUAAUCAAACUUGGAGAUAGCUCGUACUCCCCGAAAUGCAUUUAGGUGCAGCCUUGCGGGUUACUGAUGUGAGGUAGAGCGACUGAUAAGAUGCGAGGGCUUCACCGCCUAUCAAGUCUUGACAAACUCCGAAUGCGCAUCAGUUCUACCGCAGGAGUGAGGGCAUGGGUGCUAAGGUCCGUGCCCGAGAGGAGAAGAAUCCGGACCACCUGCUAAGGUCCCGAAAUGACAGCUAAGUUAAACUAACGAAGUCUGACUGCUAAGACAGCUAGGAUGUUGGCUUGGAAGCAGCCAUUCAUUUAAAGAGUGCGUAACAGCUCACUAGUCGAGGAGUCGGGCGUGGAUAAUAAUCGGGUAUCAAGUUGUCUACCGAAGCAGUGGGAUCAUUUAUAUGAUCGGUAGGGGAGCAUUCCAGUCAGCGUCGAAGGCGUACCGUGAGGUAUUCUGGAGCGUCUGGAAAAGCAAAUGUAGGUAUAAGUAACGAUAAAGGGGGCGGGAAACCCCCUCGCCGAAAGACUAAGGUUUCCUGAUCAACGCUAAUCGGAUCAGGGUCAGUCGGGUCCUAAGGCUCAGCCGAACGGCGAUGCCGAUGGCAGAAACGGUUAAUAUUCCGUUACUACCUUCAGGAGUGACGUGGAGACGCAGUAGUGACAGUGCCGCCAUCUGACGGAAUAGAUGGUUGAAGGGUGUAGGAGUCGAUCAUGGCAGGCAAAUCCACCAUGAGAUCCGAACCUGAUAGUAUGCCGCGUCCUUCGGGACAAGGCAAUAGUGCGCGUAAGCAUGCUGCCGAGAAAAUCCGCUAAACUUAAUCCUGCAGGUACCCGUACCGCAAACGGACACACGUAGUCGGGAUGAAUAUUCUAAGGCGCUUGAGUGAUUCACGGUUAAGGAACUAGGCAAACUGACCCUGUAACUUCGGGAUAAAGGGUCCCUACCCUUUUAUGGGAGGGCGCAGAGAAUCGGUCCAGGCAACUGUUUAACAAAAACACAGGGCUGUGCCAAAUCGAAAGAUCCAGUAUACAGCCUGACACCUGCCCGGUGCUGGAAGGUUAAGAGGAGAUGUCAUCGAUAAGAGAAGCGUUGAAUUGAAGCCCCAGUAAACGGCGGCCGUAACUAUAACGGUCCUAAGGUAGCGAAAUUCCUUGUCGGGUAAGUUCCGACCUGCACGAAUGGUGUAAUGAUCUGGACGCUGUCUCAACCGUGAGCUCAGUGAAAUUGUAGUAUCGGUGAAGAUGCCGAUUACCCGCGAUGGGACGAAAAGACCCCGUGAACCUUUACUAUAGCUUAUCAUUGAAUCUGGGCACGUGAUGUGUAGGAUAGGUCGGAGGCUUUGAAGCAGGUACGCCAGUAUUUGUGGAGCCGCUGUUGAAAUACGACCCUUUAUUUGUUUGGAUUCUAACCCGUGGAACGGGGACAUUGAUUGGUGGGUAGUUUGACUGGGGUGGUCGCCUCCAAAAGCGUAACGGAGGCUUCUAAAGGUGCCCUCCGGCCGAUUGGUAACCGGCCUUAGAGUGUAAUGGCAUAAGGGCGCUUGACUGGGAGACUGACAAGUCGAUCAGGUAGGAAACUAGAGCAUAGUGAUCCGGUGUUUCCGUAUGGAAGGGACAUCGCUCAAAGGAUAAAAGGUACUCCGGGGAUAACAGGCUGAUCCCUCCCAAGAGCUCAUAUCGACGGAGUGGUUUGGCACCUCGAUGUCGGCUCGUCACAUCCUGGGGCUGGAGAAGGUCCCAAGGGUUGGGCUGUUCGCCCAUUAAAGUGGCACGCGAGCUGGGUUCAGAACGUCGUGAGACAGUUCGGUCUCUAUCUAUCGUGGGCGUAUGAAAUUUGCGUGGCUCUGACACUAGUACGAGAGGACCGUGUUGGACAGACCUCUGGUUUGCCGGUUGUGCCGCCAGGUGCAUUGCCGGGUAUCUAAGUCUGGAUCGGAUAAGUGCUGAAAGCAUCUAAGUACGAAGCCGGCCACAAGAUUAGAUUUCUCAGGGUCGUUGUAGACUACGACGUUGAUAGGAUGCAGGUGUAAAGGUAGAGAUACCAAAGCCGAGCAUUACUAAUUGCCCGUUCACUUUCCUUA
rnacentral:rRNA from 1 species